UGUUCAGAGAGUGGGUGGGUGUGGGUUCAGUUUAAUGGCGGACCGACCUGCCGAGGUAGAGGGGCUCGUGGAGGACGCAUAGGUCGAUGCCGGCGACGAACAUCUGCGCCAGCGGGCUGAAGGCGGCGGUGAAUACCGGGCCCCGCUUCUCCACGCAGUAGGUCAGCAGCAGGAGUCGACGGAUGGACCAGGGAUCGCGCGCACGUACGCAGUACACGACGGCGGCGAUCUCGACGGUGCCGCGGAGCCGCCAGGCGGCGAGGCCGGCGCCCCACUGCGUGGACAGCGCCAGCGCCGCCGCCUGCGCGAAGCUGAGCAGCGACAUGAGCGCCGUGGCCGAGUACACCGCCGGGUACAGGCGCGUGAGCCGCCGCUGCAGCAGCAGCCACCCCGCGAACCCCACCACGUUCGCCAGCAUCGACGCCGACCCCAGCACCCACCGCACCGCGCUCCGGUGCUGCUCCUCGACGCCGGCCGCCGCCGCCGACGACGGGGGCAGGUGGUGGUGGAGGUGGGUGAGGGACGCGCCCUUGUAGAAGGUGAGCAUCAUGGCCCCCGUGAGGGACAGCAGCGUGCCGGAGAUCUUGGCGCUCCCGGACUUGCUCCGAACCUCCAGCGCCUCAUACCUAGCACAGGUCAUGGAUGAGAUUCAUUUGAAUUUGUUUGGUUUUCUACUAAUUGUGUUUAUAAAUCAUGGCUCAUAGGUGUGCAAUACAAACCUAGAAAAUUAUGAAAAAGUGUUUAAUUCUGAUUCACAUGACUUAGAAAAUUAUGUGUGUUAAAGUUCUGUUCAUAGGAUACGCUGAUCGAUGUGGUCCGUAAAGUCGAAGUCUUUUUCUUUUGCUGUUGAUUCAGUUCAAGAUGCUAUUAUGUGCUAGAUUUGAUGAAAACAGAUUUAAAAAGUAAUAGUGCAGAAUCAAACUAGCUAUUAGGGUCUUAUAUUGCAUUUCAAGCUCCUAUUGUACUACUCCUAGUUAGAUUAAUGGAAGCUGUAUUAAAGUGUUCAAACAGAGUCGAUUCAAACUUAUAGUCGUGCUACACACUUGUAUAUGAAACUUUGCAACAUGACCUACUACAUGGAAGAAACCUUCUUUUCACAGAAAACAACUUUUUGCCACAGGAAAGAGAAUGAACAUUUACCCGAAAGCGAGUGAUAUCAGGAAGGUAACCACCGGGAGCAGAUUGCCGAAAGUCGCAGCAAACGUUGCGGUCGUGUACUCCAGCCCGACGAAGAGCGUGUACUGAAGCAGGACCGGGCCGAGGAUUCCACUAAGGAACAGGUACGCAAAGAUUUCAGCAGUGAUCUUUGGUCUUGUCUUCCUGAAAGGAGGAACACAAAAAAAAGGCCAGUUCAUGUGCAUGAUCAGCGACAGUGAAAUACCAACGACGACUACUGUAGGCAAUGGGGCCAAGGAAUACAGUGGCCAGCAUCUGCCUGAAAGUGAUGAGGACCAGCCGGUUCAUCCCCUGGUUCAGCGCCUGCUUGAGCAGCGCGGUCAUGACGGCGAUCACGAUGUUCGUCGCCACCAUCGCCGCCGUCGGCAUCCACUGCUCCACGCAUCCUGCACUCCACAUUUUCAGUCCGUCUGCCUCGAUGAUCUGAUGGGCAAUUUGUUUCUGGUUAUGCCAUGGUUUUUAUAGGGGUGGUGACAGGCGAAGGUCCGGAAAAUGGCAUCUCAAGGCAUGUCUCCGACUCACGGUUUCGUUUUCGCACACGUGACCGAGAGCUAAAACAUGGCCCGGGGGAGAGGAGCACAUCGUUUGUUCUCUUAAUGUCUGAAUAAUUGUGGGAAAUUUGCCGUAUCGAGCAAAUUGCGCACCCGGCUGAAUCGAAUAGCUGUCUCUUUAUUGCAUAGUGCGAAGGAACAAAGUGGUACUGUCGCCGAGGCAUCCCUGCUCUUUCCCCACAGCAGAAUAUAGAGGCCCAAGAUCAUCAGUGUGGAUCCCAGCACACUGCAAGGGCAAAACAAAAAAUACAAAAGGUGAUGCCAUUUGGACCAGCCAUUGCAGUUCUACAAGUGCAAAAGUGGAUAAACUCACUCAUAAACUGAAAAGAUUAUGCAUCAUUUAUUUCAGUAUGGGAAAUGAAUGAAUGAUCAUGAGACUGUACUGAUUUAAUAUCUGAGGCAAAUCUGGUUUACCUUCCAAGGUAGAUGUUCUCAUGGAGAAAGAAGAAAUCAAUUAUGGCCACCAUGAUCUGGAUGAUGGGGAUGAAAGCUGAAGUGAACACUGGCCCUCUCUUCUCCACACACCAUGUCAUCAGUACAUAUCCCACUCCAGACCCCAAGAUUCCCUGCAACAUAUGAAACAAGUGUUCUUUGGUUCAGCCAAUUCUCUGCAGAGUUCACUCUUUUUUGGUAAACUGCAACAAAAAGAUCUUACUGUGUAUAGUACUGUAACAAUCUCCACUGGCUUUGUGAGGACCCACACCGAUGCCCGCCGCUGUAUCGCCGCCGUCAGGCCCCCGCCCUGCAGGGAGCUGAUGAGGAACAUGUAUGCAGUGCUGGAGUAGAGUGCUGGGUACUUCUUGGUGAGCUUGGACUGCAGCAGGAGCCAAAAGGAGAAGCACAGGCAGUUUGCCAGUAACGCUAGAGUGCCCAGGGUCCAGCUCUUCUUGCCAGAUUCUGCUGCUGCUAUUUCUGCAUGCUGGCCUGAAGGCUCUGCUUGGUGUGUCAAGGCCACACCCUUGUAGAGGGUCAGGAGCAUGACGCCUGCGAACGACAUGAGUGUCCCGAUGAUCUUCGCAGCUCCUGCCUUGUUCUUCAUGUUCAGUGACUCCACCCUACAUCCAUGAGCCGUAUUCCCAAAGGGUUUAGAUAUUAGCAAGAACAAAGUGCAUGAGAAAGGUACCAGGUAAAUUUGAAAAUCGGCACACACACACACCGGAGCAAGACAGCGAUGAGGAAAGUGAGCACAGGAGCCAGGUUGGUGAAAGUUAUUGCAAACGUUGCCGUUGUGUACUGCAGCCCGUAGAAGAAGGUAUACUGAGAGAGCGCAGCGCUAAAAUGGGAGGAAAAGUCAAUGAUGAAUCAAGCAGAAUCAUAUCUGGCAGAGCAUUCUAUAGCCGGGUCGCUGUACUAAUAUGAGGAAGUGAUUGUUGUGAUGCUAUGUUUGCCAACCGUACCCUAACGCUGCGCUGAAGAAGAGGUACACCAGGAUCUCCAGUGUGAGCUUAGGCCGUGUGUUCCUGAAAGAAAACAACAGCAGCAUCAUAUUCUAGGAUAAGUUCUGAACUCUGGUCAUCUUCUGCAAAUCAAAAUUUAUGUACCGUUCUUUGAAAAAUGCGAUCGGAGAAAGGAAGACCGUGGCCACCAGUUGACGCAGCGUGAUGAGCACUAGACGGUCGAGCCCUUCCUCGAGCGCCGCCUUGAUCAGGGCCGUUGUCACGGCAGAGAUGAGGUCGAAGACCAGCAUUGCCAUCACCGGUUUCCACUCAUCGAUGCGCGCCAUCCCCCACAUUGUGCUGCUGAAUCUUUGACACACCUUUACUUGUAUUGCCAUGAUGAUUCUCUUGUCAUGGACUACUUAUAGGCAUAAUUUACCAGACGGAGACCCUUCCGAAAAUUAAAGAGAUGUCAUGGAGGAUACGCACAAAUGACCCUUUUACCCUCCAAAGAAAAGGCGCUGGUGAUGACACAUAAUGCGAUUACUUAUUGGCAUGAAACGGUCCAUCUCGACAUGUUCUUUUUCCUUCAGUGCCAUGAGAAGCUACUGACACGAAUCACAAAGAUGUUUUGACUGGUGGAAGCAUCUCCUCCAUUGCUGAGUUCGCAAUGACAGUGGAAAAGACUCCACUAUUUGCACACUUCGGUGAGUUUGGCAAGCUCCUGUUUGGGCUACAAACUUGACCCUAUUCUCAUCAUGGUAAGGGUGCAGAGCUAUUCAGUUGUGCAGAAAAGGCGGUUCUGUCCCGUCCGAUCCAAUCCAGAGGAAAGCAGGAUGGUGAGUUGUUAGUGGAGUGAUCACCUAGUAUGAAAGCUCCCUGUCUCAUCCAUCUCCCUUGAUAAUGGAAAUUGGCGACGCCGAGAGACGAGCAGCUCCCAGUUGCGCAGAGGAAUGGCGAAAGCGGGUUGUCGGUAUGAUGCGGCAUUGGUGCACAUGGCGGAACUACACUUUGCUGCAACUGCACAUUACUUCUUGAUCAGGAAACGUCCAGCAAUGCCAGGCUAGCCCCUAGACGCAGCAAUAAGAAAAAUCUUCGUCGCCGACAACUGGUAGUAGAUCCAGACCGGGGCAGUGACAUAAAAUUCCCCGAGGUUUUGACUGCGCACAUUGUGCAGCGAGCACCCACCCACUCGUCUCUUUCAGCGGUAACGAUGUUACCGCCGCUUGUUUCCUACCGCAGGGGUACUGGAUCCAGACAAGAUGCUGAAUUAUGCCCACCUGGAGAAUAGCAUCCAUGUUCAGGUAACUUACUGGAUCACAUAGUGCUAGCAAAUCAACAUUGUUCAGGAAUUAGGAUGGUGAUUCAUGAGAGUGCAAAGCAAAAUGAAUCUUUAUCAACUGAUUUGCAUGCAGAUCACAAUCUAAGCCACAUCUGCAGCCCUAUCCUACUAGGCUUUAGCUGCCUGCAAGGACAGUUAGAUGGGGAACAGUAGGGUAUUGUCCCGAUCACAGUACAUACCCUAAGCAAAAGCACAUUAAGAAGCAAAGGAAAGAGAAGGCACUGGCUUUUGCCAUAAGCCUAUGGCUGAGAAAAGUGCUGACUCUCCUCCAUGCUGAUAAAAAGCUGCCUUUAACCUGACACAAAAAAAGGUUGUGUGUCAAAAAAGAAAAGGAGAAACUUGUCAUUUUCAUUUUGUGAGAAUAAACUGUUUUCAUAUAUCAGUGUGCAUCUUGUAAAAAGAAGUUGUAUCAAAAAAAUAGAAGGAAAGAUUUGCCUUU